AAGGGGGUGGGGAAGGAUGCGAUGUGCAAGCACGGAGGGCGGCCCGGGGGUGCGAUACCGCACGCCCGGAGCCAGGACUCUUUACCUUGUCGCUGUAAUCCCUCAGGACCCGCUCGAUAGCCCCCGCUUCGCCGGCCCGGACGAUGUAGAGGGCGCGCUCCUCAUCCAUGGCCGCAGGUGCGGGGGAGCCGCGGCCGCUCUGCGCGCCCAAGCCGCUGCCUCCAGGAAAGCACCGGAAGACUCCAUAACUCAGAAGAUGCGGACACUGUUUUCUCCUGUGGCUCUUUCCACACAUGUCUUUUUCUCUACAAGCAACUUCCAGGGUGGGCUGGGCCAGACCAAACCCUGCUGAUUCCAGUCCCUUUGGUCUUGACCCCAUGGAACAAUGGGAUGAAGCCCAGAGAUCUGUCAGCUUUCUGAGGCACAGACUUCUGCCAGGCCUGCAGACAGAGCUCAGGAUAAAGAACCAAAGGUCUGCCCUGUCUCAAGGCCCAUAGAUGUGUGCUCUGCAGGUGGAAUGGCCGUCCGGUGCUUACUUUGACUGUCCUCGGGUCCCGAGUCUUCUGGUGGUUAACUGAGGAAACUGCUGCCUUAUGAUCUAGCAGAGGAUGAUAAUUGCUGUUGCCCAGGACAGCCACAUCAAUUCACAAGAAAUCUGUGAAGAGAGAGCAUCUCUCAAGGGAUUUUUCGAAUGUCACGAAGACUGCCUUCCCUCCUGGCACAGCAUUGAGCAGGCAUGCAUGGCCAGAGAGAGUGAGCCUUCAUGAGAAGAGAUGCUGUUGCUGAUUUCUUAUUGAAAAGGAUUUCCUUGUUGAAAUAACAGUGAAAGUUCAAGAUAAUCUCGGAAGAAGCACCUAAAAUCUACCAGAAUGUUAUGCUGGUUUUUUUUUCUUUCUUUCCUUUUUAAAAAAAUAAAUCAUUUCCUAUUUUCUAUAAACAAUAUGUAGAUAAUUAAAGAAAGCAGCAUUG